CCCCGGGGGAUUUUUGGUGAAAACAUGUUUGAAGAACUGUCACAAAAUUUCAUAUUUCACUUUAUUUGUGUCAGUUGACAAAUGUUUGAAAUUGACAGCCAUAAGAAAUAAACGAAAUAAAUCAAAAGUGUAUGGCCAAAAAGUAAUUUUAGAUGUCAAUAGACGCCUACACCGUAAAAAUAGAAAGCAGAAAUUAUAAGAAAUAAUAAUAUUCACUGAAAGAUUAUUAAGCACAGGAAACGGCUUUCUCUCGAAACCAGCGAUCUAAAACUUCGAAUUAUAGGGAAAAAGUAAGAAUCGACAUGAUUUUCCUCUGCGUGCUGGAGAUGGCUGGAAAACCCCAUACACCGGCAAGACUUUUCAUCGUGGGACAGGUCAGUGAAAAUGUUGGACAUGUCAGCAGAGUCAGAGAGAAAUCAAACAAAUUGCCGUGCAUGUACUACAAUUGAAACCGUUAGCGGGGCGGUGGGCGUGGCCGCCUAACAAUGCCCAGUUUUGAAAAAGAAAUGGAACAACAAUGCAAUGAGCAACAGAUACAGUUUGUUUUCCCCUGACCUGCGCUUUAUGGAAACCCACUCAAGUGCAUCCGCGCAGGAGUGGCAGCGCGUAAGAGCAAACGUGCUGUGAUUUAAUUUUUUCUGUGACGGUCGGCGGCAAACAAAAUAAUUCAACAUACAUACCUAUAGCGGCUAUUACGAGUAGCAGGAAAAUGCGGGG